UACGGGGGGGGCAAGCGUUGUUCGGAAUUACUGGGCGUAAAGGGCUCGUAGGCGGUUUGUCACGUCGGAUGUGAAACCCUGAGGCUCAACCGUCAGGCCUGCAUUCGAUACGGGCAGACUAGAAUUCGGCAGGGGAGACUGGAAUUCCUGGUGUAGCGGUGAAAUGCGCAGAUAUCAGGAGGAACACCGGUGGCGAAGGCGGGUCUCUGGGCCGUAACUGACGCUGAGGCACGGAAGGCCAGGGGAGCAAACGGG
rnacentral:rRNA from 1 species